GAUGAACGCUGGCGGCGUGCUUAACACAUGCAAGUCGAACGAUGAAGCCCAGCUUGCUGGGUGGAUUAGUGGCGAACGGGUGAGUAACACGUGAGUAACCUGCCCUUGACUCUGGGAUAAGCGCUGGAAACGGCGUCUAAUACCGGAUACGAGCUUCCACCGCAUGGUGAGUUGCUGGAAAGAAUUUCGGUCAAGGAUGGACUCGCGGCCUAUCAGGUAGUUGGUGAGGUAACGGCUCACCAAGCCGACGACGGGUAGCCGGCCUGAGGGGGUGACCGGCCACACUGGGACUGAGACACGGCCCAGACUCCUACGGGAGGCAGCAGUGGGGAAUAUUGCACAAUGGGCGCAAGCCUGAUGCAGCAACGCCGCGUGAGGGACGAAGGCCUUCGGGUCGUAAACCUCUUUUAGCAGGGAAGAAGCGAAAGUGACGGUACCUGCAGAAAAAGCACCGGCUAACUACGUG
rnacentral:rRNA from 1 species